ACAUUUAUCAUUGAAUUAAAAUUAAAAAAAAAAAAUGCACUACACAUGUUUGAUAUCACCGCGUCCAUAAUGACCUGAUGUAUAAAACGGUCAGGUUACUUUCUCCGCACGGUGAACGCCAUAAAAA